AUGGAUUUUCGUUUGUGUCAAUCAAUUGAUGGAAACGUGAGUGAGCUAGAGAAGUAUGUGUAUGUAAGCUAAAAUAAUUACAACUAAUGUUUUUCAUCGAGUAUUAUGUGAUGUUAUGUAACCAAUGAACUGUGAAUGUGAAUAUGUUACCACGAAGGAGAUAGACGCCACAUGAGUGGCGGAGCUUGAGAUUUCCGACCGGUGGGUCGAAAACGUAUAUACCUAGAAAAAAUUAUAAAACCGGGGGUCGAAAACGUAUAUGCCUAAAAAAUUCUAUACGAAAACUACAUACCGGACACUAUUGAGCGAAAAGUUCGGGGGGUCGGGCGCCCAGGAGAACGAAUGUCGAAUGGUGGAUAAGCUUGGACAUGCUAAGAUAUUAAUCACGUGAGGUUGGACAUAUUUUCAAUGGGUUCCAUAUGGUUUUGAAAUUCUUGGUUGAUAUUAAAUGGGGUAUACUAAAUGGUUUGGUGCAUAAAAGAGGAAAACGGCAUGCAGUGGUGUAUUAUUCGAAAUACGCCAUGUUAUGCUAGGUGUCUAGGUGGUUUAGGUAACAAUUUUUUUUUUCAUUUAUCCAGUUUUCAAGUAUGUUUUGAUUAUUCAUGCAUUUAGCUUUGCUAACUACUUUGUUCGCAUAUACUCUCCGGACUAAUGGGAGAAUCAUGAUUGAAUCUUGAGAUGGAACUAUUCAAUUUAAGACCACUAUAGUGCUAUGUCGAAUAUAGUGUUUUGACUUAAUUAGGAGGCUAAUAUGGUUCUUUGCUAUAACUUGGUGGUGUAAACUUUAUGCUUCGAGGUCUGUUAGAUACUACGAUUUUAAUUGUUGUGAUAGGAUUCAGGUUACUUUGACGGGGAACCAUUGAGUAUGGAAGAAGCAUGAUGGAUGUUAACAAAAUGAGCCAUGUUUUGAAUGCUAUCAAAAGGGGUAGGUGAUGAGAACUCUAAUCACAACUAUUGGGAGCCGACAGAAAACAUGAGUACACCAUGGACCGCUUAAACUGGAUGCUGAACACUCGAGUUUAGAAAGGAUAUAAAACAUCAUCUUUUUUAUGCCUUCGUAUAAUAAAUCUAAUCGUAAUCGAGUUACUUACCUUUCUAUGCUGAUUUUU
rnacentral:lncRNA from 1 species